GGACGCAGAGGGAGGCGUAUCGCUGCACCUACAGAGAGCAACACCUCAUGUGAAAUGGGGGUCACAGAUAUGCGAGUGCAAGAGGAAGCUCAGCGUGCGUAGGAGUCAAACACUCUGCCUUUUAUUGGCACGCAGGAUUCACUGCCUCAGCAAAAGUGUGCCGGCACGAUGGCAGUCGCACAGCAGCUCCUCGUACCGUUGACCCUUCUUUUGACGUCCUGUAGCGCGUGGGCCACCGAUGGUAAAAGCAGGAUUCUGAAAAUUAAGGAGGGAGCAUCAUUCACUGUGCGGUGCAUCUCAUCAGAGCAAGGCUUAAUGUCAAUGGAUCUGCUCCAGAGGUUGGAGGAGGAAACGCACGUUCUUCACUUCUAUGAGAAAACUAGGAAAGUGAGAUUGGCAAAGAACUACGAAGGCAGGGUGAAGGAGAAGGGAGAAAUGACCAAACUCUCCAUCACGCUCAUUAAUGCUACAGCCGAUGACUCCGGUAUCUACUCGUGUGUAUACAACAAGGUCAACGCAGGCACCCAAGAUAUAGAGAAGUUUCCAGGCAUGGAAGACACUCUGGUUGUAGUGAUGGGUGGUGUGAAUACUUGUCCACCUGCUGACCACACACUAAUGACACCCAGCCUUCUGAUAGCCAGCGCAAUCUCUGGCGGCUCAGUGUUCCUGCUGUGUGUCGCAGUCCUACUCAUCUGUCUCGUUCCCAGGGUGAAAAAAUUCUGCGCAAGAAAAAGCCACAGGAAGGCACCUGAUCUCAUCUAUGAAGACAUGGGAAGGAAGUGCUACACUCCUGGCUGACUAUACCCUGCUGGGCUGUCCAGUUUACUCCUCCGCUUCACUAAGAACGGUCAGAGAAGCAGAAGGAGGACUUCCCUCAGUGUCAAACUGUCCUGCUUUUGCAUAAAUGCAUGCACAGAAAAAAAAGACAUAUUUAAGUGCAACUCUUGCUUGUCAGGUAGAAAAAGUUGCGCCGUUAUACACGUACGAUUGUUUUUAUCGUCCUUUACAGUCAUGUUUUCCAAGAGAAGGUUCAUGUAAAACAUAACAACUCAAAAAUGUGGAGGAUGAAGAGGGAUGACUUGUUUCCUGUUUGGGGCUUUUUCAGUGGUUUUAUUGAUAAUAUGUGUUGUUUCUCGUCAGGCUCCCGCCUACAUAGCCGACACAAUGGUUUACUCUUUUGUACUUGAUUUUUAUACAUAUUUUUUACAGCUUUUUAUUUAUAGGUUUCAGCACUGGUGCACACUUAAAAAUGAAUAGGCAUGUAUAUGGAAAUGGAAGAUGACAUAUUUAAUAAAAUUCUAGGAACGCUGGAAAGGAUGUCCGCG
rnacentral:lncRNA from 1 species